AUUGAACGCUGGCGGCAGGCUUAACACAUGCAAGUCGAGCGGGGUGAUGGUGCUUGCACUAUCACUUAGCGGCGGACGGGUGAGUAAUGCUUAGGAAUCUGCCUAUUAGUGGGGGACAACAUCUCGAAAGGGAUGCUAAUACCGCAUACGUCCUACGGGAGAAAGCAGGGGCUCACUUGUGACCUUGCGCUAAUAGAUGAGCCUAGGUCGGAUUAGCUAGUUGGUGGGGUAAAGGCCUACCAAGGCGACGAUCUGUAGCGGGUCUGAGAGGAUGAUCCGCCACACUGGGACUGAGACACGGCCCAGACUCCUACGGGAGGCAGCAGUGGGGAAUAUUGGACAAUGGGGGGAACCCUGAUCCAGCCAUGCCGCGUGUGUGAAGAAGGCCUUAUGGUUGUAAAGCACUUUAAGCGAGGAGGAGGCUCUUUUGGUUAAUACCCAAGAUGAGUGGACGUUACUCGCAGAAUAAGCACCGGCUAACUCUGUGCCAGCCGCCGCGGUAA
rnacentral:rRNA from 1 species